UACAGAGGUGGCAAGCGUUGUUCGGAAUUACUGGGCGUAAAGGGCGCGUAGGCGGCCAUCUAAGUCAGACGUGAAAUCCCCCGGCUUAACCUGGGAACUGCGUCUGAUACUGGACGGCUCGAGUUUGGGAGAGGGAUGUGGAAUUCCAGGUGUAGCGGUGAAAUGCGUAGAUAUCUGGAGGAACACCGGUGGCGAAGGCGGCAUCCUGGACGGUGACUGACGCUGAGACGCGAAAGCGUGGGGAGCAAACAGG
rnacentral:rRNA from 1 species